GUCUUCAAAAGAUUCUACUGGGCAGGCCAAGUCUAAAAAAAAACAAGAGGGUAAAGGCAGAGUAGAGUAUAAUACUUCACAGCCAUCAAAAGAUUCAGUUGGAGAGCCCAAGCCCAGAAAAGAAGAAAAGGACAGUGUCACUAAGACCACAAGUCACAUCCUUAAUGAUGACACUGUGCAGGCUCUGUGGAAUUUGAAGGACACUGAAGUGGUGGUUGCAGUGGUUCAGUCGACUGACAAGGAUAGGAAAUAUACACUGCACCACAGAGACUUCAAAACCCUGCAACCACACAACUGGUUAAAUGGGGAGACAAUUGAAUGCUAUUUUCAAGCACUCUUGAAUGCAAAAGACGAUGGACGAAAA